AUUGGAGGUGAUUGCUGGAGACGUGGGGAUUUCCAUGGCUGUGGCUGUUGUGAUCUGGGCCCUCUUUGUUUGGCGACAUGUGUGGAGUCCUGGUCACAAUCUCCUCUUGUUGGAUGAAAUACAUCAGGAUGAAGAGUCUUAAUUGUGAGGUGAUACCCCACUGAGUGUCAGAGUAGGUGGGGUGUGCAUGAUGCUCUUUAGUUUGGGUCAUUUGAAGUGAUAGAUGCAGGAGGAUGGUAGAUUUGUUCUUGCUGAAAUCUGAGAACCUGCCUGUAUCGGUGAAUGUCACCCAGUGCUCAGCAAAUGCAUUCAGAUGAAAUCAUUGAGAUCUUGGGUUUCAGGCCUAAGUGAUCACUACAGGUACUACUAGUUCCUGCCUGUGGAAUAAACAUUUGCUGAAUGCAAUUCAACAUAAUAACACUUUGUGCAGCAAGCAAUCACUCAUCACCCUCUGCCUCUUCUCACUGUUGUGACAAUCCCAACUCUAUCCAGACCACAAAUAUGUUAACCUCUCCUAGAAGUGUUUUACUAAUAAACUGCUUAACUUCACUUUCUUUGACCAGAAGUCAGGGUGCAUUACUUUCCUAUUAAAUGUAUUUGAUUUUACUGGGCUGUUUUUUCUGUCUGUUCUCUGGAGAUAGUGAAGGGUGCUAACGGGAGAUGCAGGAUGUAGUCUUUCCACUAACAAGUCAUGCAGGUAGUGCUUGGUGAUGCCAGUGACCUGCAAAAUGGCCUUGGACAGGUCACUUUUUUUGUUUUCUCCCCUUCCCUAUUGCUCCAGCUCAUCUGUUGAACACUGUCAGUAAUUUGGGGCAAGAYCUGUACAACGUAUACCCUUUAUAAAGAGCUGCAGGCUCUAAUGAAAUGAGUCUUUUAGUGGUUGAUCAAUUUGCAGAAGGUAUUGCUGUUAUCUGUACUUUUUCUUCACAGAAAGCAUCAAUUGCAGAGCAAGGACUGGAGCCAAAUCUCUUGACUCCUGGCCCAGUAUCCCAUCUGGAAUGGGACCUUGUUCUAGAGUUGGAGCUCCAUGACACUAUUAUGUAUUUGUGCAACAGGACUAUUYACGAUAACCUUUGGCUGUGAAGACCCAGGAAAGUGCUCGCUGCAGGAGUCAUCCAGCUGAAAYCCCAGAGUUCGGCUUGCUUCCCUCUGAGUUUUGAAGACUGUGACUUUAAUUAGGAGGUGCCUUUGAUGGGAUCCACUAACACCUUUCCUCCUGGAGGACAGAAGUCAGACUUGUGGCUAGCAGGAGAUGGACUGUGAAAGCCAAGAGACUCCAACUAUAGCCUAGCUGAAGGUUUUGCAUUGGAAAACCAUAAAGAAGGGGACAGUGUCAUCCUGAAUUUAAAACUGUUUGCAAUGUUGACAGUACAGCAAUGACAAAGGACUGUUUUGCAGGGACAAGCUAGUCCAGCCACAGUUCCCGUUGUAGGAAUUGCCUUCUUCUGGUGAACUUUCAUUCAACAGUAAAGCACAACAGUUUCAGAUAAUAAAACAAAAACAAACAAACA
rnacentral:lncRNA from 1 species